AGUGAACGCUGGCGGUAGGCCUAACACAUGCAAGUCGAACGGCAGCACAGUAAGAGCUUGCCCUUACGGGUGGCGAGUGGCGGACGGGUGAGGAAUACAUCGGAAUCUACUUUUUCGUGGGGGAUAACGUAGGGAAACUUACGCUAAUACCGCAUACGACCUACGGGUGAAAGCAGGGGAUCUUCGGACCUUGCGCGAUUGAAUGAGCCGAUGUCGGAUUAGCUAGUUGGCGGGGUAAAGGCCCACCAAGGCGACGAUCCGUAGCUGGUCUGAGAGGAUGAUCAGCCACACUGGAACUGAGACACGGUCCAGACUCCUACGGGAGGCAGAAGUGGGGAAUAUUGGACAAUGGGCGCAAGCCUGAUCCAGCCAUACCGCGUGGGUGAAGAAGGCCUUCGGGUUGUAAAGCCCUUUUGUUGGGAAAGAAAAGCAGCAGGUUAAUACCCCGCUGUUCUGACGGUACCCAAAGAAUAAGCACCGGCUAACUUCGUG
rnacentral:rRNA from 1 species